rnacentral:rRNA from 1 species
AUUGAACGCUGGCGGCAGGCUUAACACAUGCAAGUCGAGCGGGGUGAUGGUGCUUGCACUAUCACUUAGCGGCGGACGGGUGAGUAAUGCUUAGGAAUCUGCCUAUUAGUGGGGGACAACAUCGCGAAAGGGAUGCUAAUACCGCAUACGUCCUACGAGAGAAAGCAGGGGAUCACUUGUGACCUUGCGCUAAUAGAUGAGCCCAAGUCGGAUUAGCUAGUUGGUGGGGUAAAGGCCUACCAAGGCGACGAUCUGUAGCGGGUCUGAGAGGAUGAUCCGCCACACUGGGACUGAGACACGGCCCAGACUCCUACGGGAGGCAGCAGUGGGGAAUAUUGGACAAUGGGGGGAACCCUGAUCCAGCCAUGCCGCGUGUGUGAAGAAGGCCUUAUGGUUGUAAAGCACUUUAAGCGAGGAGGAGGCUAUUUUGGUUAAUACCCAAGAUGAGUGGACGUUACUCGCAGAAUAAGCACCGGCUAACUCUGUGCCAGCAGCCGCCGUAA